CAUCCACAACCCUGGCUUUGCGAUUGCAGAUGCGACAUGGUUUGCAGUGCGAUGCAUGUUCCUACGAGUGGCAGGCGGCACGUCCAUCGCUGCAAAUAGGAGUCUGGCUCGGGUGUUCCCCAUUGGUGUGUCCUGGAGGCCUACUUGAAGAGCUCGGUUCACCGCUGCAGCUUUUUGGCCAGAUGCCAAUGUGACACCCUUUGAUGUGACUGUGUAGAGUAAUAACCUGCUGUGAGACAACAGCAAUGGUGCAGGGAGGUUUUUGCAUGAUAAACAUCUUGUCUUUCCAAAACAGUUGACCUGAUGGAGAUAUCUUGAACGGUAUAUGCACUGCAAAGCUUCAAAGUUUACCCUUCAGAGUUUUUUCACCCUGAAAAAAAGACACAUGUCCAAGAUGGGGGUACCCCAACUUGAAUUCAUUCAACUCCAAAGUUUCUGCAUGUAUCAAGCCCUAAUUUUGCCUGUGAGGUUCAGAAGUGUCAGGAAUUGUGUGGUGCAAAAAUUAUUGAUUUUGAAAAAAGUUGGCUGGUGUGAUAGGACACAGACCCCCAUUACAACUUCCGUUUUUCGGUAGGGACGAUUGUAGUUCUGUGAAUUUUAGGGUAUAAAGUCUUUUUUUGCUCCCAGGCGUCCAUUUUUGGUGCACAGGUGCAUGCUUGGUAUUAAAAUGCUGGAAACUGUCUAAACUUUGAGGAGGUAUGAGCUUUAUUGAUGAAAGUUUGAAACUCUGGGCGAGAGGACACAAGGUGUGAGGUAGUGAUGAGGCUGCGAGUGACGUCCCCUUGGCGUUGCUAGGCACGCCUCCCAGCUGCCGGCAUGGAAAGGUCCAGAUUUUGACGGUCAACCUAUGUCAAGAUUUUUAUGGCUUCUUUCUCACAGGCUGGGCCAGGUAUGCACCAAAGCUUAUUGGCCACGGAAUGUUUGGGACUGAGCUACAGUGCUAGACGUUAACAUUGUCGCUUAUGGAAAAUUAAUGGGGGUCCGAGGCCAGG